rnacentral:rRNA from 1 species
UACGUAGGGGGCUAGCGUUGUCCGGAAUCAUUGGGCGUAAAGCGCGUGUAGGCGGCCCGGUAAGUCCGCUGUGAAAGUCGGGGGCUCAACCCUCGGAUGCCGGUGGAUACUGUCGGGCUCGAGUACGGAAGAGGCGAGUGGAAUUCCUGGUGUAGCGGUGAAAUGCGCAGAGUAUCAGGAGGAACACCAAUUGCGAAGGCAGCUCGCUGGGACGUUACUGACGCUGAGACGCGAAAGCGUGGGAGC